UACGGGGGGGGGCAAGCGUUGUUCGGAAUUACUGGGCGUAAAGGGCUCGUAGGUGGCCAACUAAGUCGGACGUGAAAUCCCUCAGCUUAACUGGGGAACUGCGUCCGAUACUGGAUGGCUUGAGUUUGGGAGAGGGAUGCGGAAUUCCAGGUGUAGCGGUGAAAUGCGUAGAAUAUCUGGAGGAACACCGGUGGCGAAGGCGGCAUCCUGGACCGGCAUUGACGCUGAGGCGCGAAAGCGUGGGGAGCAAACGGG
rnacentral:rRNA from 1 species